GACCUCGGAUCAGGUAGGG
rnacentral:rRNA from 7 species